rnacentral:rRNA from 1 species
AACGAACGCUGGCGGCAGGCUUAACACAUGCAAGUCGAACGCUCGUAGCAAUACGGGAGUGGCGGACGGGUGAGUAACGCGUGGGAACGUGCCCUGAGGUACGGAAUAACUGCGGGAAACUGCAGCUAAUACCGUAUGAGCCCCGCAAGGGGGAAAGAUUUAUCGCCUUAGGAGCGGCCCGCGUCGGAUUAGCUAGUUGGUGGGGUAACGGCUUACCAAGGCUUCGAUCCGUAGCUGGUCUGAGAGGACGAUCAGCCACACUGGGACUGAGACACGGCCCAGACUCCUACGGGAGGCAGCAGUGGGGAAUCUUGCGCAAUGGGGGCAACCCUGACGCAGCCAUGCCGCGUGAAUGAUGAAGGCCUUAGGGUUGUAAAGUUCUUUUGCCCGUGACGAUGAUGACGGUAACGGGAGAAUAAGCUCCGGCUAACUUCGUGCCAGCAGCCGCCGUAACAC